CCCGGGAGAUGCCACCGUCCGCCAAGGGCCGCGGCCCGGGCCCCGCUCGGGUUCCCGCGCCGCCCGCACGGCCCGCGGCUCCGCCCCGAGGGGAUGCGCCCCCGCGCCCGCAUCCUUCCAGCACCCGCCCGCCUGGCCCCUGCCCUCUCCCGGGCCCCUGAGAGCGGCGCCCUCCCGGCUCGCGGCCGCCCGGCCCGCUUGACAUACCAGGAAUAGCUGCACACAAUUGUACCUUUCCCGGCCAAGAAACCUCCCCCGCUGGGGAGCGCGGCCCGCCGCCCUCACCUGAGCCCCAGCCAGCGGAGCCCGCUACCCGCUCUCCCGCCGCGAUCCGGCCCAGCUGCCAGGUGCGCGCCGUCCCCUCCCACGCUCCCCGCCCCCUGCGGCGGCCCGGCCCUCCCGGCGGCAGAGGAGGGUCGUGGCCUUGGCACGUGCGGCCGCUUCCCCCCGGCGGAGUUCGGCCCCGCUCCGCCCGGCUUCCAGCUAAAGAAGUCACUUUCAAGAGAUCUGGAGAAGUAAGAUGGCCAAAUAAAAGCCUCUACCAACCAUCCUCCCCACAGGAACACCAAAUUUAAGAACUAUCUACACAAAAAAGCACCUUCAUAAGAACCAAAAAUCAGUGUGAUCACAAGCCCUCAGAGAAAGGUGACAACAGAGUUGUACAAGAGACAAGCGACAUGACAAACAUCACGAGAUGCUUUUUGGUGCAGAUAACUGAGUAUCAGCUACUGUCAAAUACCCAAGAACGGCCAACGACAUGAAUGAUGGAGCUUAAAAAACAGAGACUAUACAGAAAUAAAAACUGUUUUACU